rnacentral:rRNA from 1 species
GCUCCAAUAGCGUAUAUUAAAGUUGUUGCAGUUAAAAAGCUCGUAGUUGGAUUUCUGUGAGAGUGCCGGUGUCGGCUGACGCUUGUACACAGGCGCUCUUACAUCCUUCUGUUAACCGUUCUCGGCAUUCAUUUGUUGGUUCGGGGCUCAGAUAUUUUACCUUGAGAAAAUUAGAGUGUUUCAGGCAGGCUUAUGCCGGA